GGCCAGCGUGUAUGGGCUUUGGCUGUUUUCCCACAAGCAUCAAAGUCUAGCAGGCAGGUGUUCCUGUUUGUUCAAGUUCAGCUGAAUUCCCCGAGUGAGCUCUACGGGAAUCUCAGUUUUGAUUUCCCCCUCUCACCCUCUUUCCUGCCUUCCCUCCCCUCCCAAAGACAAUGCAGAUGAGAAUCAUAGCUGUAAUAACACUUUGAGUUCUCCAGAGUUCAGUGGUCUCAGACUAGAAUGCAAUGAUGCAUUAGAAUGACCCAUGAAGCUUGUUCAAAGUCCCAAUGCACAGGCCCCACGUUGGACUGAUUCACUGAUUCCGAAUCUCAAGUUUAAGAACCACUGAUUACUCCAUCAUUCAGAAUGGUGAGGAACCACAGCUGGAAUUGAUAGCAACAAACCUGAAGGAAGAAUGUUCAUCAUCUAAAACAAAUAGACUGCCAGAUACUUCUCCAGCAAAGAAGGGUUUACCGGAAAUCAGCAGAGAAUUGCAAUUCUGCACCUGCCACCAUAGGAGGAGGAGAACAUUCUACAGAGAGGAGAUGGAAGUUGGGAGGGCAGGCGUUCUUUCAUUUUUUGAUCUUGGAUAUACAAAGAUUUCUGGUUGUAUCCUUACCAUAAACCUCCCUUUUUACUUACACUAA